UACCAGCACCCCGAGUGGUCGGGACGUUUAUUGGGCCUAAAGCAUCCGUAGCCGGUUCUACAAGUCUUCCGUUAAAUCCACCUGCUUAACAGAUGGGCUGCGGAAGAUACUAUAGAGCUAGGAGGCGGGAGAGGCAAGCGGUACUCGAUGGGUAGGGGUAAAAUCCGUUGAUCCAUUGAAGACCACCAGUGGCGAAGGCGGCUUGCCAGAACGCGCUCGACGGUGAGGGAUGAAAGCUGGGGGAGCAAACGGGG
rnacentral:rRNA from 1 species